GUGCCAGCAGCCGCGGUAAGACGGAGGAGGCUAGCGUUGUUCGGAAUUACUGGGCGUAAAGCGCGCGCAGGCGGUCCUGCAAGUCAGGGGUGAAAGCCCGGGGCUCAACCUCGGAACUGCCCUUGAGACUGCGGGACUCGAGACCGGGAGAGGAGAGUGGAAUUCCCAGUGUAGAGGUGAAAUUCGUAGAUAUUGGGAAGAACACCAGUGGCGAAGGCGGCUCUCUGGCCCGGUACUGACGCUGAGGCGCGAAAGCGUGGGGAGCAAACAGGAUUAGAUACCCUCGUAGUCC
rnacentral:rRNA from 1 species